GCACAAGCGGUGGAGCAUGUGGUUUAAUUCGAAGCAACGCGAAGAACCUUACCAGGUCUUGACAUCCCCUGACAACCCGAGAGAUCGGGCGUUCCCCCUUCGGGGGGACAGGGUGACAGGUGGUGCAUGGUUGUCGUCAGCUCGUGCCGUGAGAUGUUGGGUUAAGUCCCGCAACGAGCGCAACCCUCGACCUUAGUUGCCAGCAUUCAGUUGGGCACUCUAAGGUGACUGCCGGCUAAAAGCCGGAGGAAGGUGGGGAUGACGUCAAAUCAUCAUGCCCCUUAUGACCUGGGCUACACACGUGCUACAAUGGGCGGUACAAAGGGUAGCGAUGCCGCGAGGUGAAGCCAAUCCCAAAAAGCCGUCCACAGUUCGGAUUGGAGUCUGCAACUCGACUCCAUGAAGCCGGAAUCGCUAGUAAUCGUGGAUCAGCAUGCCACGGUGAAUACGUUCCCGGGCCUU
rnacentral:rRNA from 1 species